rnacentral:rRNA from 1 species
UACGAAGGGGGCUAGCGUUGUUCGGAAUUACUGGGCGUAAAGGGCGCGUAGGCGGUGCAUCAAGUCAGGCGUGAAAGCCCCGGGCUCAACCUGGGAACCGCGCUUGAGACUGGUGCGCUCGAGUUCGGGAGAGGAUGGUGGAAUUCCCAGUGUAGAGGUGAAAUUCGUAGAUAUUCGCAAGAACACCAGUGGCGAAGGCGGCUCACUGGCCCGCAACUGACGCUGAGGCGCGAAAGCGUGGGGGAGCAAACAGG